rnacentral:lncRNA from 1 species
GGUAAGCUUAUGUUACAUUUGGUGUAAGUAACAGAUGUGAUGUGACCAAUUGACUCAUGUAAGAGCAGCACGUGGCGGUAAGGCACAGUAGGGAAAAAAUAUUGAAACCAGUUUGCCAACCAGUUGCAAGAAGUGUCAACGGCAAAGUCAAUGGUAUGAAUUCCUUAUAAUAGCCGGUUGAUGAUUAGGCACGUAUCAAUGAAGAUUUUGAAAAGAAAAAGAAAAAUUGAAAUUGAAAAAUUUUUAUGUGGGUUUUAAAAGUUUAUAAGCCAAAAUCUCAUCAUCCGGUUUUUGAAGGAAGCAACAGCUCCCCUAUGAAAGUCAUGCGCCACUAUUCAUACAAUUUUAUUAUGGAAAUUAUUGAACCAAGGCUGAGAAAAAGGGCAAAAAAAAAAGAAACAAAUUCUUUCAGAGUUGUCUGUUACUACUACAUAGAGAAAUGGCAGGGAGCUGCAGUUUCAAAGGUGAGGGAGGGUUUCGUAAAUUUUAUAAUUUUUUUCGUUAUUCAAUUUAUAAUUUUGUUUUGGAGUAAUGAAAUGUUUGUAAUAUCAUUGAUUGGUUUAUCGAUUAGUAUCCUCGUAAUUUUAUCUUGUUUCAAAUUCUUAAAUAGGCCAUAUGCAUCAAGUGUUCGAUGAAAUGUCUGAAUGGCGUAAGCAAAUACUAGUUGGCUAAUUUUGAACAUGUUAAUCGGUUUACAAAUUGAUGUAUCAGAGUUCAACUAAUUUCAUGUAUUUUCAUUAUUAACAUAGUAUGAGUUGUUAUCGAUGAAGUGAGAAUAUUAUGUAGUGGAAUGAAUAAUUGAGUAGGUGCUUUAAUAUUCAAAGUCUCUAGAGAAUGACCUUAACAGAACGUUAUGUUUUUAUGGCUUUGAAAAGAAAUGUAAAUUUGUAGAGCGAAGUGUGAAGGUUAGAAAUUAUGAAGACGAUAAUAUAUUGUUAUUUUAUAUUCAUAAGUAAAUGAGAAUGUGUCUUCAAAGGAUAAAGAUCAGACAUUUUUAUAUGAAUUUGUGUAAAAUUGGAAGGGUUCGAAAGGUGUAGUUAAAAAAUAAAGCAAUAAACCUUGUUGUUAUUUCAUUUUCUCAUUUGCUUGAAAGGGUGGCCCUUUAACGUAGUGUGAUUCCUAUUGAUAAUUUUGAUAUUUAAAGGUAACCAUCUGUUGUUAUGUAUUUACUGGAUAAAUUUCGCUUGUGAGCCUUCCCUUUUGUUAUUGUAGUAAGGAAUUUAGUAUCAGUAAUUUAAGUUGACAACUAGUUAAGUUAGUAAAAAUGCAAAAAACUGUUAAAGUACACAAGUUUGAUACCAAUAACGGGGCAAAGACUAUGUAUCCAAACCAAUACUGAUAUUGUUCAGUGUGCUUAAAUUCAUGUUACUGCUCAACAAAAUAAUUGUAUUGAUUUGUUCUCGUGGGUUCUUUGUUUUUUAUUAUACUCAGAACAUAAUGCCACGAUUAUUUAUUAGUUUAAUAUUUUGGUAUGUAAUAUUAGCCUUUACUUGGCGGCAUUACUGUUGAUGAGUCAGUGGAAAGUAAAAAAUGCAAGAUUAAGAAGGAAGUGAUGCUUUUAUAAUUAUGGUUUCCAUAUUUAUGAAUUUCAGACAUUUGAGUCUUUAAUGGAAAGGAUUAUGUGGUGUUAAUAGCCUCGUAUUCAUUGCUUAUGAACUCGAUGUCUUCUCAGUUGUAGACUACGUUAAAGAUAACUGAUAUAAGGAAUUUGAGUUUACCCAAAUGAUAAGGAUAAAGCUUCAAUAUGAUUCCCUUUUCAACUUAUGUAUUUUAUGAGCAUUUCUUCCAUUCUUUAGAUUGCAUAGAGGGUUUUUUCGUCUCUACCCUGGUUGGCAUUCAUAUAUUUUGGGAAUUUAAUGUGGUAGUCAUUACUUAGCAUUCUUCAAUUCUAACUGACGUUAUUAACUUGAAGCACUUAGUUUAAAUUUUGAAUUAUGGUUUAUUUUGAUCAUUUUCUUGGCAUAAUAGGAAAAUAAAAUAAAAGGUAACAUUUUAGUCUUUGAAUGGUGAUGAAAGCAAAGGCUAUAACUCUUCUCUAUUUACAGGUGAUGGCCUUAAAACAUUUAAUAUUGUGAACAAUGACUUAUGCUACAAUGACAAUAUCAGUGUUGAGCUCCCUGUCAGGCUGGAAUUUGGGUUAUAGAAGGUGGACAAGGCUAGUAUUUUCUUGGGUUCUACCAAUACUCCUACAAAGUCUGCACAAGAUUAUAUAUUGCUCAUAGAGCGCCAAGAUCUGGUUAAACUUCAGGCAGUUUAUCUGCGAACUUACAUGAUCCAUCACCAUUUAUGUCACAUGUGAAUGAAAUAUGAAAAUCUUCUUCCAACAAAUGCAG